CAUACAUGUCAAGUGACAUGAUAUUCGCGUGUAAUACACGCUUUUUCAACGGUUUACACGCGAGGAUUUUGUCCAUGGCGUGUACACGCUUUUCAACACUUUACACGCAAUUACACGCAUUUUCGUUCUUUUCACUUUGUGGUCGUUAGUGAUAUCGCUAUUCUCGGUUUUUUUCCUUAUUCGGCGAUAAAUACCGAAAAUUUCGAAGUUUGUCUGCCAUAUUGUUUAUUUUUCUAUAUAGACAUAACAGUAAAAGGUAAGUAGUUUGUGAUUAGUUUUAACGAUUUUGUGACUUUCUUUUCAAAUCACUUUAUAGGGGAAAUGUGCACAGAAAGAGGUCGCUUCCUGGCCUGUACCGUCGUCUAAAGCGCCGAUUGUUAAUUCAAAACGAUGUGUACAUACCAAGAUUCAAUGUUUAUAAAUUAUAUUUUGGAGUUCGAGUUUUAUUGAUCGAGUGACAAGUAACGUAUUGUGCAUUCUUUAUUGCAAUGAUCAAAAACAAUACAUGUGAGAGGAGAAAUACAAUGUAGCUAGUUGAAUAACCAUUUAACAUGUUUAUUAAAUGGAAAUCAAAUUUAUAAAACAUUUUUCUCUUUUAAUUUCAGUUUCAAAUAUAGCCAACAGAUUCUACACUCACUACAGGCCAUGGGGAUGAAAAUAUCACAGAACUGUUGGAUCAGCUCUCAUAGUACCAGCUAUCUUCUGAUGAACUACCCAGUUUUACGGCAAUGGGAGCAAUGGCAGAGAUAAUAGAUGACAUUUUACAUUGCCAAAAAAACAACAUAAUGACAUUCUUUCAAAUAUCAAUUCCUACUGUGGGAGAGCUUUUUCAAUUAUAAAGAAAUAUUGACACUGAAUUCUGAUCAGAACUUGACUAUGUUAGAUUUAUAUUGUACAUUGUUGUAUGCUGUUAUCAAAUAAAUGUAACUAAACUUGAAACUGGCAGUUGUCUUGAAAAUGUGCCUAGUGGUGGUGCCUUAAAAACAACAUAACAGACCACUGUUUAAUACAAUAAAAGUUCACAGUAGAAUAUAUAUUGUUUUUUGUAUAUAAACAAAUUUUUAUGUGAAAUUAUGAACAUUACCACAUUCAUAUUAAAAAGUCCGCAUCUACGUCACGCGUUUUUACACGCUUUUUGACAUGUCAUGUCAUGUCAUGACAUGAUUUCCCAUUGUCAGAGGUUG
rnacentral:lncRNA from 1 species